UUCACUUUCUUUGUGACUUUUUACUUUUAUUACUGAUAUUACAGUUUGUUUUGAUUUGAAGGGUUUAGUAGAAAAUGAUUAAUGUCUGAAACCAGACGUGAUCUGUAGCUUUCUGUAUGGAAUUUUGAAACAUUGAGUCAGAAAUCAAUACCAUGUUAAAAUUACUUCACCACGGGUUCACGAGCAGAAUCACUGUUGAGUCGUUGACUGUUGGGAGCGUCUGCGUCUCUGAUGAAUGAGGAGCCUGCAGCUGGAUUGUUGGGCGAAACUGCCAUGAUUCGUUGUUGUUCUAUUUACAACAGGUUUUUCGGUUAUUUUUGGAGUCGACUCCGUGGAACGAUCUUUCACCUUCAUUAGGCAUUAUAUUAAUUCCUGGCGCCAUCUUCGUAGCGUUCGAGAACGCACACUGGGCCUUUGGAUGGAGGAGGGAAGAACAUUGCGCGUCUAAAAAAAGGAAACUAACGGAUUUGCCCAUUUGACAAACUGGGGUCGACUCCGGAAGCGAAGCAGGCUUAUUGUUUGGUUUUUGGCUUUUGUCGUAAAUUCUUCCGGUCUAAAUUUCUGUAUUUAAAAAGUGCCACAGACGAUAAUUUGCUGUUUAAUUGCUAGUUUUUGCUGUAA